UCGCCGGUUUCUGGAAAAAUUCCGGCCACCUCGACUGUUUUAGGUGAUUGACGGUCUUCCUUGGGUGAGCGGUUUCGGUGUGUAUUGUGUUAAAUUGAAGACGCAGCGGGAAUAUCGAGCGGGUAAUCCUGCAGGUCAGGAGAAUCAGGGCGGUGAUCGUGCGGGUUAGAGUAUUUGUUAUAGUUUUACAGCAAUUGUAAUAGUGAGGUGAGUUAAGCUCAUUUGAGCCUUACAAUUUGAUUUGGUGAGAGUGUGCUGUAAUAAAUAACUUGAGAAUUUGGUUUAUUGUAUUAUUGAGAGGUGUGAAGUGUGGUUGUUUGUGAGAAAAAAAUUCAGGACGUUUAUUUGUAAUUGUUAUUAUUCAUGUUUCGGACUUUGAAUUGAUUAUUCAAAA